rnacentral:rRNA from 1 species
AGUGAACGCUGGCGGUAGGCCUAACACAUGCAAGUCGAACGGCAGCACAGUAAGAGCUUGCUCUUACGGGUGGCGAGUGGCGGACGGGUGAGGAAUACAUCGGAAUCUACUUUUUCGUGGGGGAUAACGUAGGGAAACUUACGCUAAUACCGCAUACGACCUACGGGUGAAAGCAGGGGAUCUUCGGACCUUGCGCGAUUGAAUGAGCCGAUGUCGGAUUAGCUAGUUGGCGGGGUAAAGGCCCACCAAGGCGACGAUCCGUAGCUGGUCUGAGAGGAUGAGCAGCCAAACUGGAACUGGAAAACGGUCCAGACCCCUACGGGGGGCAGCAGGGGGGAAUAUGGGACAAGGGGGGAAAGCCUGAUCCAGCCAUACCGGGGGGGUGAAGAAGGCCUUCGGGUUGUAAAGCCCUUUUGUUGGGAAAAAAAAGCAGCAGGUUAAUACCCCGCGUUUCUGACGGUACCCAAAGAAUAAGCACCGGCUAACUUCGU